GAUGAACGCUGGCGGCGUGCCUAAUACAUGCAAGUCGAGCGAACAGACGAGGAGCUUUCUCCUCUGACGUUAGCGGCGGACGGGUGAGUAACACGUGGAUAACCUACCUAUAAGACUGGGAUAACUUCGGGAAACCGGAGCUAAUACCGGAUAAUAUAUUGAACCGCAUGGUUCAAUAGUGAAAGACGGUUUUGCUGUCACUUAUAGAUGGAUCCGCGCCGCAUUAGCUAGUUGGUAAGGUAACGGCUUACCCAGGCAACGAUGCGUAGCCGACCUGAGAGGGUGAUCGGCCACACUGGAACUGAGACACGGUCCAGACUCCUACGGGAGGCAGCAGUAGGGAAUCUUCCGCAAUGGGCGAAAGCCUGACGGAGCAACGCCGCGUGAGUGAUGAAGGUCUUCGGAUCGUAAAACUCUGUUAUUAGGGAAGAACAAAUGUGUAAGUAACUAUGCACGUCUUGACGGUACCUAAUCAGAAAGCCACGGCUAACUCCGUG
rnacentral:rRNA from 1 species